rnacentral:lncRNA from 1 species
CUUGGGGUUUCCUGGAGCAGAGCCAAGGCAAUGCAGUUGGUUACUCAAGGCCUGAAAAAUCCCUAAGGAGAAAGAAGGAGCAGAGCAGCAGUGAUGCUGUGCGUGCCCCCCACAGGCCUGGGACAGCCCUUACCGCAUCCAGCUGUGGCAGCUGCAGGAGAUGGGGCCACCAGGCAAACGUUCUCCUGGCUCAAAGCCUUCUGGAGGAGACGCUUGGUAAUUCUCCCAGCUGAAUUUAUGAGCAAUUCUUU